GGGGAAAUUAAUUUUCUAAUAAUCAAGUUGUAGGAAUCUCUAUGGUGCAUCUUUAUAUGGACAUAGAUUAAGAUAGAUUAUAGAAUAAAAAAAUUGUGGCUGAACUGGAAACCAACCAUCUGCAUUUGUCAUAAAGUCAGUCUCCAUAAUUUACUGUAAUGAAAUAUCAGUAUGAGGGUAGAGUACAGAAAUAUAAUAUUUUCUUUCUCAGCUUCUUGUUUAUCUUUUACCUGUUCAAGAUUGAUUAUUGUCAAAUUCCUUCUUAGCUCAUUUAAGCAUUCUAGUUCUUAAAUGUUGCUGCCUCUAUCUG
rnacentral:misc_RNA from 1 species